rnacentral:snoRNA from 1 species
UACAUUUAACUACACACUGUACACAGAGUUACUGCGGAUAGUUUGGUGUUAAAAGUGUAAAUAUAGUAAGUACCAUGAGAGAGGUGAACUACCCACGAUGACGAGUUCUUAGUACUAUGCCCUAAAUGCGAUGCGGAUCGAUUGGACGAUUAAAUUUGAUCAAUCGAUCAUUGAUGACCGUUCAAAUGCGUUUAUUCGUUCUUUGAGGGGCAGAGUACAUUCAGAGUGGU